CCUACGGGAGGCAGCAGUGAGGAAUAUUGGUCAAUGGGCUUACGCCUGAACCAGCCAAGUCGCGUGAGGGAAGACUGCCCUAUGGGUUGUAAACUUCUUUUGUCAGGGAGCAAUUGGGUCCACGCGUGGGCUUAGCGAGAGUACCUGAAGAAAAAGAAUCGGCUAACCCUGCGCCAGCAGCCGCUGUAAUACGGGGGAUGCGAGCGUUACCCGGUUUUAUUGGGUUAAAGGGGUGCGUAGGCGGAAUAUCAAGUGUGCGGUAAAAAUUCGGGGCUCAACCCCGUCGUGCCGUUGAAACUGAUGUUCUUGAGUGGGCGAGAGGUAGGCGGAAGGCGUGGUGUAGCGGUGAAAUGCAUAGAUAUCACGCAGAACUCCGAUUGCGAAGGCAGCAUACCGGCGCCCAACUGACGCUGAAGCACGAAAGCGUGGGUAUCGAACAGGAUUAGAUACCCUGGUAGUC
rnacentral:rRNA from 1 species